CAAGACAUACAACAGACACCACACUGCUGCUGCUCCUCCUGCUGCUGCUGCUUCUGCCGGAGUAGUCAAAGGAACAAGAGGAGCAGGAGGAAGAGGAGGAAGAAGAGGGUGAUUCUUGGAGACGUAGCAAUGAAGUUGUGAAGAUGUCUCUGGUGUGUGGCCUAGUGCUAGGUUAUCAAGUUCCCUUGUCCCGCUCGAGAGAGAGAGAGAGAGAGACUAGGAUCACCACCGCGUCGAGCUUCCUGCCCACCUCCCUCCAUUGUCCUUAGCCCUCACUUAUAUGUGAACGUUGUAUUUAUUUUCAUCACGCCUCUGUGUUUGUAAAGAAAGAGUGUUCCAAUAAGUGAGUUCUAUUUGCAGCCACAUGUGUACUUCAAAGGUGUUUUGCUAAGUGGUGAGGUGUUGUGGUGUAUCUGUCGGUACGGUGUUCGAGCUACCUUUCGCCCACGUUCGUGACGCUACCUUCCGUACUGCAUUUAAUGUCUGGAUUUCCUUUUUUUACCCCCUCUCCUGAUAAACCUUAAAAGUGUGAUUACGUUGGUUCAGUGUACAUUUCCCUCGUGUAACGGAGUGAAAAGUCAACCUCCCUCCAUGUACAACAGUGUCGGGAAUCAUUUCCCCCGUGUCAGGGUGUCAUGGGAUAUUCUCUUACGUUUGGUUGCUUGUGGGGUAAUGAUACGUGUAGUGUGGCAUACUGGUGAGUGAAGCUGCAUAACUCUCUACUCUGCAUCGUGGAUCUGUUUCCUCAUGAGUAUUACUGUUAUAUGGGUUAUCAUUGGUGAUUAUGGUGCUUGUUAGUGAAGCUAUCUUUGGUUAAUAUAUGUAUUGUUUUUGA